GACUGAAACAACGGUUUCCGUACGAUCACCGAAGUUAAGCAACGUCGGAUUUGGUCAGUACCUAGAUGGGUGACCGCUUGGGAAUACCAGGUACUGUAA
rnacentral:rRNA from 1 species